rnacentral:rRNA from 1 species
UCGAGCGAGGCGCAAGCCUAGCGGCGAACGGUUGAGUAACACGUAGGCAACCUGCCUCCGAGUGGGGGACAACCCAUGGAAACGUGGGCUAAUACCGCAUGUGGCCUGGGGAACGCCUGUUCCCUCGGCUAAAGGAGCAAUCUGCUCGGAGAGGGGCCUGCGGCCUAUCAGCUUGUUGGUGGGGUAACGGCCUACCAAGGCGACGACGGGUAGCUGGUCUGAGAGGAUGAUCAGCCAGACAGGGACUGAGACACGGCCCUGACUCCUUUGGGGGGCAGCAAUGAGGGAUAUUGCACAAUGGGCGAAAGCCUGAUGCAGCGACGCCGCGUGGGCGAUGAAGUCCUUCGGGAUGUAAAGCCCUUUUCUGGGGGACGAUACGGACGGUACCCCAGGAAGAAGCCCCGGCUAACUACGUGCCAGCAGCCGCGGUAAUACGUAGGGGGCGAGCGUUGUCCGGAUUUACUGGGCGUAAAGCGCGUGUAGGCGGUCCCUUAAGUCCGAGGCGAAAUCCGGAGGCUCAACCUCCGAGCUGCGUCGGAAACUGGGGGUCUUGAGGGUCGGAGAGGGGAGUGGAAUUCCUGGUGUAGCGGUGAAAUGCGUAGAGAUCAGGAGGAACACCCGUGGCGAAGGCGGCUCCCUGGCCGAACACUGACGCUGAGACGCGAAAGCACGGGGAGCGAACGGGAUUAGAUACCCCGGUAGUCCGUGCCGUAAACGAUGGUCACUAGGUGUACGUGGUAUCGACCCCACGUGUGCCGCAGCUAACGCAUUAAGUGACCCGCCUGGGGAGUACGGCCGCAAGGUUGAAACU